ACCACGUGGUUCAUGGCCCCCCGGUCCCUGGGAGAGAGCAGGCUGGACAGGAUUUAGAGCGUCCUGAUUCAGGCCGAUGGUACCGGUGACCCCCAGCCCAGAGUCUUCCUGGAGGGACACACCCCCCAACGUCUGUUUCACAAACCGUGAGACUGCCGACAGGUGUGGUGUGGGAGACACGGUGGUUCUCCGAGAAGGACACGUCCUUGAGAACCUUCAGAAAAGAAAAUAUCCAACCGCUUUUGAUUAUUCCUUCCGGACCCCAGACCUCUGUGCAGCCUGCCCUCGGGGGCUCAGGUCAGGGGAGAAAGGAGCCCGGCAGGACGUCCCGAGGUGGGCGGGCAGCACCACACCCGAGCCGGGUCCCAGGCGCGACGGCACCUGCGGGCGCCGGGGGCCGUGAGGAAGCCCCUCGGCCGGCCGGCCCAGAGCAGCAGCCAGAGCAGGGAUGGGAAGGUCUGCCUGUAACCACCACGGGACAGCCCGCAUGCCUGCAAUCGCCUGGGGUCUGUUCUGAUCGAGUCCGGCUCCCAUCGGUGGAGACACGGAGCCUCUGCACCCCCCCCCCCCCGCCCCACACACAGGGUGAGGGAAGCUGUUUCACCCCCGAGAAAAGUCACGGCUGGGGUUGGUCGGCAGAUCAAAUGGGGUCAUCGCAUUUCUCUUCCGAGGAGGAGGAUGGAAGUGAGCCGCGUGCCGCGAUCACGGCGCCGGGCGUUGUACAGAUCAGCAGGCCUGCCCGUUUGGGGCCAGAACGCCUCACCCCUGCCCGCCGGCGUCUGCGGUCCCGUGACUGGGAGCCACAUGCCUUGUUCCAGGCUGACGGACGAUUUAACGCGGGACAACAUGCUGGCCGUCUCAGAGCGACUGGCUCACCUGGUCCAUCCGUUCCGUGGGGACCCAUCAAAGAGGGGGGCGGCCGCCCGUUAACUUCAGGAGGGAGAGGAGAACGUGUGUCCCGUGACGCCAAGGCGCUGGGCGCUCCUGGAAAGCAGCCGUGACCGCGUCCCUGAGCUGCUGGGGCCCCGACGCCCGCGGGUGCACACGCCUCGUCCGCACCGCUGGCCUCGCGGCCCCGAGGGCUUCCCCAGCGAGGGAGGCCUCCUCCAGCUUCCGCGCCCGAAAUUCAGACCCCCUUGAUCCUCCUGUGCCGGUUCAACGUCAGCGAAAAGCAAAAUGUGACCCAGCCACUGUGUGUGGGGGGUCUGACCCCGG
rnacentral:lncRNA from 1 species